CAGUCGCCGCGGUAAUACGAAGGGGGCUAGCGUUGUUCGGAUUUACUGGGCGUAAAGGGUGCGUAGGCGGAUUGUUAAGUCAGGGGUGAAAUCCCGAGGCUCAACCUCGGAACUGCCUUUGAUACUGGCGAUCUUGAGUCCGGGAGAGGUGAGUGGAACUGCGAGUGUAGAGGUGAAAUUCGUAGAUAUUCGCAAGAACACCGGUGGCGAAGGCGGCUCACUGGCCCGGUACUGACGCUGAGGCACGAAAGCGUGGGGAGCAAACAGGAUUAGAUACCCCCGUAGUCCCUGUCUCUUAUAC
rnacentral:rRNA from 1 species